UGGACCAGCACUUCCAGAAGAUUCCUGUGGUGCAAAGAAAGAAGCUGACCCUGCUGGAUUGUGACUCACCUGCCAGGAACUCCGGGGCACCUGGGACCCGGGCAGAAGAUGAGCCACAGCUAGGACACUGAUCACCAGGCUCCAGCUCCCCACCCUCCACCCCGCCACCCCUGCUCUGGUCCCCAGCUCCAGUUCACCUGCUUGUGAUGCUCCUGGAAGGAUUGAUUGAUUCUGUUUACCUGAAAACACAGCAGAUGAGGAGUGGGUCUGUGUCCCUGAGAAAACCCCUUCACCUCUAUG